rnacentral:rRNA from 1 species
UAGAGUUUGAUCCUGGCUCAGAUUGAACGCUGGCGGCAUGCCUUACACAUGCAAGUCGAACGGUAACAGGUCUUCGGACGCUGACGAGUGGCGAACGGGUGAGUAAUACAUCGGAACGUGCCCAGUCGUGGGGGAUAACUACUCGAAAGAGUAGCUAAUACCGCAUACGAUCUGAGGAUGAAAGCGGGGGACCUUCGGGCCUCGCGCGAUUGGAGCGGCCGAUGGCAGAUUAGGUAGUUGGUGGGAUAAAAGCUUACCAAGCCGACGAUCUGUAGCUGGUCUGAGAGGACGACCAGCCACACUGGGACUGAGACACGGCCCAGACUCCUACGGGAGGCAGCAGUGGGGAAUUUUGGACAAUGGGCGAAAGCCUGAUCCAGCAAUGCCGCGUGCAGGAUGAAGGCCUUCGGGUUGUAAACUGCUUUUGUACGGAACGAAAAAGCUCCUUCUAAUACAGGGGGCCCAUGACGGUACCGUAAGAAUAAGCACCGGCUAACUACGUGCCAGCAGCCGCGGUAAUACGUAGGGUGCGAGCGUUAAUCGGAAUUACUGGGCGUAAAGCGUGCGCAGGCGGUUAUGUAAGACAGAUGUGAAAUCCCCGGGCUCAACCUGGGAACUGCAUUUGUGACUGCAUGGCUAGAGUACGGUAGAGGGGGAUGGAAUUCCGCGUGUAGCAGUGAAAUGCGUAGAUAUGCGGAGGAACACCGAU